AACUUUCAACAACGGAUCUCUUGGUUCUGGCAUCGAUGAAGAGCGCAGCGAAAUGCGAUAAGUAAUGUGAAUUGCAGAAUUCAGUGAAUCAUCGAAUCUUUGAACGCACAUUGCGCCCAUUAGUAUUCUAAUGGGCAUGCCUGUUCGAGCGUCAUUU
rnacentral:rRNA from 1 species